UUUUCAAAUCAAAAAUCAUUUUUUCUUUGAUUCAAUCAAAAAAUAUCUCCAGAAAAUAUGUGUGGAAUAUUUGCCUACUUGAAUUACAAUGUUACCAGAGAGAGAAGAUACAUCCUUGAAGUUCUCUUUAAUGGUUUGAGGCGUUUAGAGUAUAGAGGCUAUGAUUCCGCUGGAAUUUCCAUUGAUUCUUCAAAUCAAACUUCUGAUCCUCCUCUUGUUUUUCGUCAAGAAGGAAAUAUUGAAUCGCUUGUCAAAUCUGUAUACCACGAUGUUGCUGCUACAGAUUUGAAUCUCGAAGAAUCAUUUUCUGUUCAUGCUGGAAUAUCACACACCCGGUGGGCCACACAUGGGGAGCCUGCUCCUAAGAAUAGUCAUCCUCAAAGUUCUGGUGCUGGAAAUGACUUUUUGGUUGUGCACAAUGGUAUUAUCACCAAUUAUGAGGUAUUGAAAGAGACCCUUCUCCGACAUGGUUUCACCUUUGAGUCUGAAACAGACACAGAAGUAAUUCCGAAGCUUGCAAAAUUUAUCUUUGAUAAAGCUAAUGAAGAAGGUGAUCAGUGUGUGACAUUCAGUCAAGUUGUGCUUGAGGUAAUAAGGCAUCUAGAAGGAGCCUAUGCUCUCACAUUUAAAAGUCGACACUACCCAAAUGAGUUGAUUGCUUGCAAACGUGGUAGUCCACUUCUUCUUGGUGUAAAAGACUUAGAAGAAAAGGCCUCAUCAGGAUCAUCAUUUAGUGAUGCUAAAUUUCCUUCAAGCAAUGGACAACCAAAAGAAUUAUUCUUGUCCAGUGAUGCCAAUGCUUUGGUUGAACAUACUAAAAAGGUCUUGGUAAUUGAGGAUGGAGAAGUUGUUCACAUCAAGGAUGGAGGAGUGUCAAUUUACAAAUUUGACAAGGGUAAGAAUGGUGGUACUCUCAGUAGACCUGCUUCUGUUCAACGUGCCUUAUCCAUUUUGGAAAUGGAGGUAGAACAGAUAAACAAAGGAAAAUAUGAGCACUACAUGCAAAAAGAAAUCCAUGAGCAGCCAGAAUCUUUAACGACAACUAUGCGAGGGAGACUUAUACGUGCAGGAUCAUGUAAAGCAAAGACUGUGCUUUUGGGGGGCCUGAAGGAUCACCUCAAAACCAUAAGAAGAAGCAGGAGAAUCGUUUUUGUUGGGUGUGGCACAAGUUACAAUGCAGCUCUUGCUGCAAGAUCCAUUGUGGAAGAGCUUUCUGGUAUUCCUGUAACCAUGGAGAUUGCCAGUGAUUUAGUGGACAGACAAGGGCCAAUAUAUCGAGAAGAUACAGCUGUCUUCGUUAGUCAAUCAGGAGAAACUGCUGACACUUUGCUUGCAUUAGAGUAUGCUCUGGAAAAUGGUGCAUUAUGUGUUGGCAUUACAAAUACUGUUGGUAGUGCAAUUGCUAGGCACACUCACUGUGGUGUUCACAUAAAUGCGGGCUGUGAGAUAGGAGUUGCAAGUACUAAGGCAUACACAAGCCAAAUUGUUGUGAUGGCCAUGCUAGCUCUUGCAAUCGGAGCUGAUACACUCUCAAAUCAAGCAAGAAGAGAAGCAAUAAUUGAUGGUUUAUUUUACUUGCCACGCAAAGUGAAAGCGGUGCUCAAGCUUGAUGAAGAAAUGAAGGAUCUUGCUAAGCUGCUAAUUGCUGAGCAAUCACUUCUUGUUUUUGGAAGAGGUUACAACUAUGCAUCAGCUCUUGAAGGUGCUUUGAAGGUAAAGGAGGUGGCACUCAUGCACAGUGAAGGAAUACUUGCUGGAGAGAUGAAACAUGGUCCCUUGGCUUUGGUUGAUGAAAAUCUCCCUAUUGUAGUAAUUGCCACCCGUGAUUCUUGUUUUAGCAAACAACAGUCAGUCAUUCAACAACUUCAUGCACGGAAAGGUCGACUGAUAGUUAUGUGCACAGAAGGAGAUAAAGCAUCUGUUUCUGUUGGUGGAUCGUCUCGAGUAAUUGAAGUUCCACAGGUUGUGGACUGUUUGCAGCCCGUAAUUAAUGUAGUUCCAUUACAGUUAUUGGCCUAUCAUCUUACUGUACUGCGUGGAUACAAUGUUGAUCAACCUCGCAAUCUUGCCAAGAGUGUCACAACGCAAUGAGCUAAACAUUUUCAAAGUCUUCCGCAUUCAACCUCUACCACUUGAUGACGACAAUUUGAUCUACUGAUCUUAUACCUAAAGUCUAAAUACAGUUAAGGCGUGGGCGGAAUAGUGCAUAUGUUGGCUAAUCGUGUGGCUUUGUCAUUCAACUGAAGUUGCUUGUUCUCCAAUUUGAGCUGAGGGGCGGCUCAAACCCGUUGGUGGCCUAAGGCCAAAAUCAAACUAGAGGCCUUAAAAAAUUUUUAAAAAUUAUAUAUGUUUUUAUUUCAAAUCUAUUUUUCUAACUUUUUGAGAUGCAAAAUUGUUUAUAAUUUUUGUGUAGUCAAUCUCUUCUAAUAAUUCUUUUUCAAUCGAUAAUAUAGCCAAACCACUUAAUCUUUCUUGAGA